GAAACACGAAAAGAACGAAGGACGUCAAAAAAAAAAGAUUCUGUAGUAGCAUCAACAACCAUCGGCUCGAUUCCGCCGCGGUUGCUAGCUCAUAUCCCCUAGCCCACAUGCCAACACGAAAACCGAAACUGAGACGCCCUUCGUCCCCGUUAUCCUCUCCCCGUCCACGCUUCGCGCUGUAUCUUCUCUGCCGCGCCGUCUUUUCUUUCACUCACACGCACAUCUCUUCGAACUUUCGUGCGAUCGCUGGCAAACCGCAACUCGUCUCUCAACGUGUUGAUGCAAGCGAUUCCCCUCUGUCUUCCCUUCCUCCCCCUUUUUUGACAGGAAUUUCUCUCGCUCCUCUGUCUCUCUGCGUAGUCUGUCGCGCCGCAUCGUUGCCCCCCUGUUUCCCUUAGUCCUUCGGCCAUUCACCUCAUCCAGUACCCCUUGUUUCUUCUUAAGGCACACAAGCACACAGUGACACAACCGUUUCGCAUCAGACACCCCUGUCGCCUUGCCCUUUCAGAAUGUCCAGUUUCGACAAAUACGUGGUGCAGUUGGUGCGCCGUAUGGGUGAUAGCGUGUCGAAAGGGAUGCGGGAGACGAUACUGCUAAACAUCAAGGACAGCAUUGACGACUACCAACGGCUCCGUGACCCAGCUGAGGCUCAGGCACGCGAGAAAGCCGCGGCAGCCAAGAAGCGGCGGGCGGCUGCGCGAAAGGCCAAGGAGGAGGAGCGGCGCCGAAGAAUGGAGCGGCAAGCGAAUCUGCCACCACUCCCGCCGCCGAGGUCGAAUAACGCAACUCAGCCCGCCACGACGGACUCAAAGUCAACCAGGAAGACGCACAAGGAAAAGUCCGCUGCCAGAAGUAACAACAUAAACUUCUCUGCCUCCUCUGCAGAGCGUGCUGGUGCCAUGACUGCAGCCAGUGCAGCUGCGAAAGCGCAGGCGCGCUCCAAGAUGCACUUGGUGGCGUUGAAAGGCAUCGACCUCCUCUUUGUAAAGGAGGUAGCGGCGCAACUGCGCGAUCUGAGAAGAAAGCCGGGGGCGAUUUCCUCGUUGGCAGGUUCCACUCAAGAAUGCAUCGCCUCGAAUGUCGUCGGAGCCGCGACGCCUAUGGGUGCCCCAUCAGCACCUACAACUGCCGAGUCCGUGGAAACGGCUGCGAGGAACAAGAAGUCACGGUCGGCCAUCCCGCAAAAGCGCAUGUCGCCGCCCCCACUGGACCACACCGCGAUGAAGCAGUCGGAUCGGGAAAACUCGUCGAUCGGUGGCGCAGAUGAGACUUUGCCACUGCCCCGGAGCGACACAAUCUCCUACCAGGAAACCUUCAAAACAUUCAGGUUUGGACGUCAGGACGCGGACAACGAGAGCGACUCGAAAGCCGAGAAUGACUCACAGGACGGAGAACAAAGGCAGAGAGAAGCGGAGGAGGACGAGUUCAUCGACGACUGCGAGGAUGCUCGACGCCGAACCAUCCAAAUGCAGCGCCCAAGCCGCGGCGCCAUCUCGGACUCCUCGCUAGACAUUGACGAGGCGCGCAUUGCUAGCUUCCCGACAACGCCCAAGUCACAGGAGAAAAUGAAGACGAUCUCGCGCGUCCUUGUGCGUCACUUUUUGUUUUCUACGCUGGACGACAGUGAUAUUGCUAAGUUUGCGUCCAUCAUGGACGUCGAGAAGUUCGAGGCGGGCACGCAAAUCUUGGAAAAGGGCCACACGAACGACACCUUCUUCAUUGUGCUUGACGGUGAGGCGGAAACGACGGUGGUGAACGAGGACGGCGCGGAGGUGGUCGUGCCUCUCGUGCGCGGCUCCACAUUCGGAGACCUGGGGCUGAUGUACGAAAUAUCGAACGGUGCAGCCGUCGUGGCGCGCUCCUCGGUGCAGUGUGCCUCGCUGGAGCGCCGCACUUACAAGAUGAUCACUUCGCGCGCGAUGGAGGACAAGCGGCGCAGGUACGUUGAUUUCCUGUCGUCGCUGCCGGUGUUUGCCGGGGUGUCCUCGCACCAGCUAGAGGACGUCGCAGAGCGCCUCAAGGAGGACAGCUACGUCCAGGGUCAGAGGGUGAUCGCGGCCGGUGUGCCAAAUCACUGGUUGCACAUCAUAAUGGAGGGAAGCGUGUGCGUAAUGGCGCCGGACGGAGAGAGUGGCGAUAUGAAAGAAGUGGCACUUCUCCAUCCCGGCGACUUUGCCGGUCAAAUCGAGUUCCUUUACCAUCACGUCGCCGUUGCUGAUGUCGUGGCUGUGAGCGCGGUGGUAAAGACCGCGAAGCUCAGUCGCCGCUCCUUCGAAUUCUUCCCGAUGGAGGCCCGCGAGCGGCUGAUCAGAGCCGUCGAGGAGGAGGAGACGUACGCGACAUAUCAGAAGCGCAUGCACAGUGGCACACGUCCGCCUCUGGACACAACGCCGCCGUUCGAUGCCCCACCGUCUCAUUUGCGGUACUCUCUGCGACAACACGAGAGCGCGUAGCUGAGGGGAAGCCACAGCUUUCUACCCUGUGCGCUGCUCUAGGCGAGCACACGGCGGGAAACUUUACACACGGGCAAACACAACUACGCGCUAUCAAGAAGAAAAACAAAAACAAAAAGAAAAACAGCGUGGAACUCUUUGCAGCAGCGAUCCCCGUGCACUGCAUCCUGCUCUCCCGCCAGUUUUCUGCACAACAUGCGUACAUGCUUGCGAACAUUGUCAACAGGGUGACCCCUAUUCGGGUCUCUCUUUUUUUCCAUGCCCUUCUCCUUCACGCCGUUUUUCCUCGCUGAGGUAGAUGAGUGAUCGCUGAUCGACGUUCGCCAAGAGGGAGGGCAGCCGCCACCGCAUACAGACAUGGUCGAGAGCGCGAGAGGUGAGAGGUGACUGCACUGGACGGGGUUUUGCACAUCCCUUGUGUGUGUGUGUGUGUAGUUUUCUUUGCUUUUAUGCCACUCCACUUUCUUUUGUUUGCCCCGGUUCUCGUACUUCUUUGUUUCGGUUGUUGGUUGAAAUGGCUCCUCUGCGUGUGUGCGCGUGGAUGGAAUUAGAAGCUUCUUGUUUUUGUUUCUUCUCCUCUCUACGGGUGGCCGGUUAGGAAAUGGAUGGAUGGCGCUGCGGGUGCCCACGCUUGCCGCUCUCUUACCUGCGUGUGUGCGUCUGUUUGGAACAUGGCUUCUUAGCGCUUUUGUACGAUUUUCAUCGUUCUCGACGCUCUGUUUUUCAUGUUCAUGUGUCUCGCCUGCCCCGUUACGUGCACCGAUCCUUGUUUUUUCGAUUCAUGCUUUUGUUUUGAGCAACGGCUUCGCACUGGUGGACGUCUGCGGGUCGCUGCGUGUUUUGUUGGAGUGCAGCACGGGCAACCCGGGAAAGCCACGUGCUGCUCCAGUAAUGAAGAGACAACGAUGAAAACACAUGGAAAACUGUAGAGCGAGGGGCGAUGCUUUUACAUGUCUUCCUGCUCCUCUCCCCCAACGCUCCUACCCAGGUACCCUGACGGUUCUUUCACGCGGUUUUUUUUUUCGCGUCUGCAAUUGCCAGCGUCCCUGUCUUUCUCCCUCUGUAAUACGAGACGAGUUUCUCUUGUAUCGUGUCCGAUGAUUGUGCGGUCGCUGGAAGCGCAUUUUUUUUAUCAUGGCGUUGCUCCUCAGCAUAUGCAAUGUGCUCCGAGUAUUUGGAGGGGAGUCGAUAGAGGGGGCAAACGGAGGGAAACUUGUCUAUGGACUCCUGGGAACAGCAACGAGGGCGGCGCGAGAGCGCCUCGAUGGACGGCUCACUCAGUCGCGCUGCUUUUUUUUCCUUGCCCUUUAUGAGUCCGCGGAGAAGUAAGCAGUGUAUCGCGCCCCUUGGAUUUGUUUGGAAACGCGCACCGUUCCUUCCUUUCACCGCACAAAGACACCUGCAACGACUCCCCGGUGCUUUUUUUUUCACGCCCCUCUUCUCUUCCUUCUUCCUGGGUUUUGUGUGUCCUCAUCCACUCUUUUUGUUUCUACCUCACUCGCUGUCGCAUGCCUUUGCCGUGGACGCUCAACGUGAAUGUACGCUACUUCUUUUAGAGUUACCCCUGUAGUACGCCCCCGUAUUUUUUUUUCUUUCUGUUCUUGUUCUUUCUCCUUCUCCUCGCCUGUUCUAUUUUUGCGCGAUUUCUGUACUGUGUCUUUCUUGUCUUUGGGUGUGCAAAACACACACACACACACACGCGCGCGCGAACUGUCACACGUUCCUUCCUCCCCACACCAG
rnacentral:misc_RNA from 1 species